rnacentral:rRNA from 1 species
AGAGUUUGAUCCUGGCUCAGGACGAACGCUGGCGGCGUGCCUAAUACAUGCAAGUUGAGCGAUGAAGAUUGGUGCUUGCACCAAUUUGAAGAGCAGCGAACGGGUGAGUAACGCGUGGGGAAUCUGCCUUUGAGCGGGGGACAACAUUUGGAAACGAAUGCUAAUACCGCAUAACAACUUUAAACACAAGUUUUAAGUUUGAAAGAUGCAAUUGCAUCACUCAAAGAUGAUCCCGCGUUGUAUUAGCUAGUUGGUGAGGUAAAGGCUCACCAAGGCGAUGAUACAUAGCCGACCUGAGAGGGUGAUCGGCCACAUUGGGACUGAGACACGGCCCAAACUCCUACGGGAGGCAGCAGUAGGGAAUCUUCGGCAAUGGACGAAAGUCUGACCGAGCAACGCCGCGUGAGUGAAGAAGGUUUUCGGAUCGUAAAACUCUGUUGGUAGAGAAGAACGUUGGUGAGAGUGGAAAGCUCAUCAAGUGACGGUAACUACCCAGAAAGGGACGGCUAACUACGUGCCAGCAGCCGCGGUAAUACGUAGGUCCCGAGCGUUGUCCGGAUUUAUUGGGCGUAAAGCGAGCGCAGGUGGUUUAUUAAGUCUGGUGUAAAAGGCAGUGGCUCAACCAUUGUAUGCAUUGGAAACUGGUAGACUUGAGUGCAGGAGAGGAGAGUGGAAUUCCAUGUGUAGCGGUGAAAUGCGUAGAUAUAUGGAGGAACACCGGUGGCGAAAGCGGCUCUCUGGCCUGUAACUGACACUGAGGCUCGAAAGCGUGGGGAGCAAACAGGAUUAGAUACCCUGGUAGUCCACGCCGUAAACG